UACGGAGGGGGCUAGCGUUGUUCGGAAUGACUGGGCGUAAAGCGCGCGUAGGCGGAUAGUUAAGUCGGGGGUGAAAUCCCGGGGCUCAACCCCGGAACUGCCUUCGAUACUGGCUGUCUAGAGUUCUGGAGAGGUGAGUGGAAUUCCGAGUGUAGAGGUGAAAUUCGUAGAUAUUCGGAGGAACACCAGUGGCGAAGGCGGCUCACUGGCCAGAUACUGACGCUGAGGUGCGAAAGCGUGGGGAGCAAAC
rnacentral:rRNA from 1 species